UACAGAGGGUGCGAGCGUUGUCCGGAAUUAUUGGGCGUAAAGGGCUCGUAGGCGGUUUGUCGCGUCGAAUGUGAAAACCCGGGGCUCAACCCCGGGCCUGCAUUCGAUACGGGCAGACUAGAGUUCGGUAGGGGAGUCUGGAAUUCCUGGUGUAGCGGUGAAAUGCGCAGAUAUCAGGAGGAACACCGGUGGCGAAGGCGGGUCUCUGGGCCGAUACUGACGCUGAGGAGCGAAAGCGUGGGGAGCGAACCGG
rnacentral:rRNA from 1 species